rnacentral:rRNA from 1 species
AACGAACGCUGGCGGCAGGCCUAACACAUGCAAGUCGAGCGAAGCCUUCGGGCUUAGCGGCGGACGGGUGAGUAACGCGUGGGAACGUGCCCUUUGGUACGGAAUAGCCCCGGGAAACUGGGAGUAAUACCGUAUGUGGUCGAGAGACGAAAGAUUUAUCGCCAAAGGAUCGGCCCGCGUUGGAUUAGGUAGUUGGUGGGGUAAUGGCCUACCAAGCCGACGAUCCAUAGCUGGUUUGAGAGGAUGAUCAGCCACACUGGGACUGAGACACGGCCCAGUAUCCUACGGGAGGCAGCAGUGGGGAAUCUUAGACAAUGGGGGAAACCCUGAUCUAGCCAUGCCGCGUGAUCGAUGAAGGCCUUAGGGUUGUAAAGAUCUUUCAGUGGGGAAGAUAAUGACUGUACCCACAGAAGAAGCCCCGGCUAACUCCGUGCCAGCCGCCGCGGUAAUAC